rnacentral:rRNA from 1 species
UACGUAGGGUGCAAGCGUUGUCCGGAAUUAUUGGGCGUAAAGAGCUCGUAGGCGGUCUGUCGCGUCGGCUGUGAAAACCCGAGGCUCAACCUCGGGUCUGCAGUCGAUACGGGCAAACUAGAGUAUUGCAGGGGAGACUGGAAUUCCUGGUGUAGCGGUGAAAUGCGCAGAUAUCAGGAGGAACACCGGUGGCGAAGGCGGGUCUCUGGGCAGUAACUGACGCUGAGGAGCGAAAGCGUGGGGAGCGAACAGG